CCUCCUAUUUUGUUAGGGAUUGAGCGUAGAAUAGCGUAUGCAAAUAGGAAAUAUCAUUCAGGUUUAAUAUGUGGUGGGGUGUUUAGUGGGUUGGCUGGUAUAUAGUUGUCUGGGUCUCCUAGUAUGUCUGAGAAAAAUAAUACUAGAGUUAUGAGAAGUAAAAAUAUAAUUAGGAUACCUAGGAUAUCUUUGAAUGUGUAGUAGGGGUGAAAUGGGAUUUUAUUUGCAUCUGAGUUUAGUCCUGUUGGGUUAUUUGAUCCUGUUUCAUGGAGGAAGAGAAGGUGAACGAUUGCUAGGGCUGCAAUGAUAAAUGGUAAGAUGAAGUGGAAGGCGAAGAAUCGGGUUAGGGUAGCUUUGUCUACUGAGAAGCCUCCUCAAAUUCAUUCGACUAGGGUUGUUCCAAUGUAUGGAAUAGCUUAUAGGAGGUUUGUAAUAACUGUAGCUCCCCAGAAUGAUAUUUGUCCUCAUGGAAGAACAUAGCCUAUAAAUGCUGUGGCUAUAACUGCGAAUAGUAGAAGUACUCCAAUGUUUCAUGUUUCUAUGAAUGUAUAGGAUCCAUAGUAUAUUCCUCGUCCGACAUGAAGGAAUAAGCAAAUAAAAAAUAUUGAGGCUCCAUUUGCGUGUAUAUAUCGGAUUAGUCACCCGUAAUUUACGUCUCGGCAGAUGUGUGUUACUGAUGAAAAGGCUGUUAUUGUGUCUGAUGUAUAGUGUAUGGCUAAGAAUAGGCCUGUAAUGAUCUGGACUAUUAGGCAGAUUCCUAGGAGGGACCCAAAGUUUCAUCAUGAUGAAAUAUUGGAUGGGGCGGGUAAGUCAAUGAAUGAGUGGUUAAUAAUUUUAAAUAAUGGAUGUGUUUUUUGUAUGUUUGUCACUAGAUGUUUCUGUAGUUGAAUUACAACGAUGAUUUUUCAUGUCAUUGGUCGCAGUUGAAUGCUGUGUAGAAAUAAUGAAUAAUUAUAUUUUUGUUUUGAGUUCAUUAUUUUUGGUUGGUUGCCUUGGGUUAGCAUUAAAGCCUUCACCUGUUUAUGGAGGUUUAGGUUUAAUUGUUAGUGGGUUUGUUGAUUGUUUAAUGGUUUUAGGGUUUGGUGGGUCGUUUUUAGGUUGAUGAU
rnacentral:lncRNA from 1 species